GACCUCUCCGGUGGUUUAGUGGUUAGAUCGUCCGCCUUGGAUGCGAAAGGUUUGAACCCCAGCCGAGUCA